rnacentral:rRNA from 1 species
UACGGAAGGCAGCAGUGGGGAAUAUUGCACAAUGGGCGAAAGCCUGAUGCAGCUAUGCCGCGUGUAUGAAGAAGGCCUUAGGGUUGUAAAGUACUUUCAUCGGGGAGGAAAAAACAAAACUAAUAAUUUUAUUUCUUGACGUUACCCGAAAAAGAAGCACCGGCUAACUCCGUGCCAGCAGCCGCGGUAAUACGGAGGGUGCUAGCGUUAAUCAGAAUUACUGGGCGUAAAGAGCACGUAGGUGGUUUUUUUAAGUCAGAUGUGAAUCCCUGGGCUUAACCUGGAACUGCAUUUUGAAACUGAAAUACUAGAGUAUCGUAGAGGGAGGUAGAAUUCUAGGUGUAGCGGUGAAAUGCGUAGAUAUCUGGAGGAAUACCUGUGGCGAAAGCGGCCUCCUAAACGAAUACUGACACUGAGGUGCGAAAGCGUGGGGAGCAAACGAGGGAUUAGAUACCCGU